AUUGAACGCUGGCGGCAGGCUUAACACAUGCAAGUCGAGCGGAGCGAGGGUGCUUGCACCUUAGCUUAGCGGCGGACGGGUGAGUAAUGCUUAGGAAUCUGCCUAUUAGUGGGGGACAACAUUCCGAAAGGGAUGCUAAUACCGCAUACGCCCUACGGGGGAAAGCAGGGGAUCUUCGGACCUUGCGCUAAUAGAUGAGCCUAAGUCGGAUUAGCUAGUUGGUGGGGUAAAGGCCUACCAAGGCGACGAUCUGUAGCGGGUCUGAGAGGAUGAUCCGCCACACUGGGACUGAGACACGGCCCAGACUCCUACGGGAGGCAGCAGUGGGGAAUACUGGACAAUGGGCGGAAGCCUGAUCCAGCCAUGCCGCGUGUGUGAAGAAGGCCUUUUGGUUGUAAAGCACUUUAAGCGAGGAGGAGGCUACUAGUAUUAAUACUACUGGAUAGUGGACGUUACUCGCAGAAUAAGCACCGGCUAACUCUGUGCCAGCAGCCGCGGUAA
rnacentral:rRNA from 1 species